rnacentral:rRNA from 1 species
UACAGAGGCCUCGAGCGUUAGGCGGAAUCACUGGGCUUAAAGCGUGUGUAGGCGGACUUCUAAGUACCUUGUGAAAUCCCACGGCUUACCCGUGGAACUGCUGGGUAUACUGGUUGUCUUGAGCCACCUAGGGGCUACCGGAACAAAUGGUGGAGCGGUGAAAUGCGUAGAUAUCAUUUGGAACGCCAAUGGUGAAAACAGGUAGCUGGGAGUGUGCUGACGCUGAGACACGAAAGCCAGGGGAGCGAACGGG